rnacentral:misc_RNA from 1 species
GUAUAAUUUUAAAGGACGCUGCUUUUUUACGACAGGCCCAUCAAAGACAUUCUAUAACAUUUUAAAUGGGUGUAUAUUAUAAAUAUAAAACAUAGACGCUGGAAACAGCAAGGGAAGCCGACUUAUGAAGCCAGCAGAACCCUCAAAAUCCAAGUUUCCUUGAGAAGAUCCAUUUCCAGGUCUACAAAGGGUGCACAGGUGGUUGAGAUGAGUUUGAAAGGCGUGCACAUGCCCCGAAGAGCCAGCUACAACCUCUUCAACUUAUUCAAUAAUGAUCCUUCCGCAGGUUCACCUACGGAAA